rnacentral:rRNA from 1 species
AUAAGAUCCGUAGUCGAAAGGGAAACAGCCCAGACCACCAGUUAAGGUCCCCAAAUAUAUGUUAAGUGGAAAAGGAUGUGGGGUUGCUUAGACAACCAGGAUGUUGGCUUAGAAGCAGCCACCAUUGAAAGAGUGCGUAAUAGCUCACUGGUCGAGUGACCCCGCGCCGAAAAUGUACCGGGGCUAAACAUAUUACCGAAACUGUGGAUGAACCUCUUUAGAGGUUCGUGGUAGGAGAGCGUUCUAAGGGCGGUGAAGUCAGACCGGAAGGACUGGUGGAGCGCUUAGAAGUGAGAAUGCCGGUAUGAGUAGCGAAAGAAGGGUGAGAAUCCCUUCCACCGAAUAUCUAAGGUUUCCUGAGGAAGGCUCGUCCGCUCAGGG